AUUGAACGCUGGCGGCAGGCCUAACACAUGCAAGUCGAGCGGAGCGGCCGACGGGCGAGUAAGGCCUAGGAAGCUGCCUGCUAGAUGGGGAGAACGUACGAAAAAGGGCGGUAAUAAAUAAUACAAGCAGAUAAGCCUAGGUGGGAUUAGCUAGUUGGUGGGGUAAAGGCCUACCAAGGCGACGAUCCCUAACUGGUCUGAGAGGAUGAACAGCCACACUGGAACUGAUACACGGUCCAGACUCCUACGGGAGGCAGCAGUGGGGAAUAUUGGCCAAUGGGCGCAAGCCUGAUGCAGCCAUGCCGCGUGUGUGAAGAAGGUCUUCGGAUUGUAAAGCACUUUAAGUUGGGAGGCGUUACCAACAAAGUAAGCACCGGCUAACUUCGUGCCAGCAGCCGCGGUAAUUC
rnacentral:rRNA from 1 species